GCACUAUAAUGCUGAGAGAAGUAGCAAUUACUUUAUUCUAUAAGUAGUAACUGCAACAUCUCUCAGUAUUGUAAGGCUC
rnacentral:pre_miRNA from 1 species